rnacentral:rRNA from 1 species
AGAGAUGUGUGAUGACGCAUAUCAAUAAGCGGAGGAAAAGAAACUAACAAGGAUUCCCUUAGUAACGGCGAGUGAGGCGGGAAGAGCUCAAAUUUGAAAUCUUCAAGGUUCUACCUUGACGAAUUGUAGUUUAUAGAAGUGUUUUCUGUUAGUAGAGUGGCAAAAGUUCUUUGGAAUAGGACAUCAUAGAGGGUGAGAAUCCCGUAUUUGGUCAUUCUUUCUAGCUUUGUGAUACACUUUCAACGAGUCGGAUUGUUUGGGAAUGCAGUCCAAAAUGGGUGGUAAAUUUCAUCUAAAGCUAAAUAUUGGCGAGAGACCGAUAGCGAACAAGUACCGUGAGGGAAAGAUGAAAAGAACUUUGAAAAGAGAGUUAAACAGUACGUGAAAUUGUCAAAAGGGAAGCGUUUGACACCAGUGUUGUUUUUCCGAAAAUCAAUUACGAAUGUUUUAUUUUUGAGGAGUUAUGACUUCAUCGGCUUGCUCCUUUCUUUAUGAAACUUUCUUAAUGACACUUUUCGGUUAACAAGUCAACAUCAAUUUCUUUUGUUGUAAAAGAGUAUGAGGAAGGUGGCUUUCUUUUCGGAGAAAGUGUUUAUAGCCUUGUGCCUCUGCAAUCGGAGAGAUUGAGGUCUGCAGCGUAGAUCCUUCGGGGUUAGAUACGUUUGUGCUAAGUUAUAGCUUUUCAUAGACAACUUGUUGACUAUGUUUAGUCUUGUAGCUUACUCGCUUACGCUAUUUUACCUACGCUUAGGAUGUUGAAGAUGUAGCACAUCAU